UACGCUUCUCGGCUCUCUGAGCUAAGAUCAUGUGUAGUAUCUGUUCUUUGUAGUGUAAUUUCUGCAACGGUCUCUAAACUGAGACCAAUGAAAUUACCUGUAUUUUUCCCUUACUGACGGGUGCUGUGAGCUUGCUCAACCCCGUCCACGGGUCGGCCUCGUAUUGCAUUACCUCGAGGAUUGGCCCAUUAUUU
rfam:Trichobilharzia regenti genome assembly, scaffold: TRE_scaffold0009890